rnacentral:rRNA from 1 species
CAGCCGCCGCGGGAAUACGUAGGCCCCGAGCGUUGUCCGGAUUUAUUGGGCGUAAAGCGAGCGCAGGCGGUUAGAAAAGUCUGAAGUGAAAGGCAGUGGCUCAACCAUUGUAGGCUUUGGAAACUGUUUAACUUGAGUGCAGAAGGGGAGAGUGGAAUUCCAUGUGUAGCGGUGAAAUGCGUAGAUAUAUGGAGGAACACCGGUGGCGAAAGCGGCUCUCUGGUCUGUAACUGACGCUGAGGCUCGAAAGCGUGGGGAGCGAACAGGAUUAGAUACCCCGGUAGUCCCUGUCUCUUAUACA